GGUGGCCUAGUGGUUAGAGCGUACGCCUCGGAUGCGGGAGGUCGCGGGUUCAAAACCCCGUUUCCA